AGAGUUUGAUCCUGGCUCAGGAUGAACGCUAGCGACAGGCUUAACACAUGCAAGUCGAGGGGCAGCGGUGGUGAAGGCUUGCCUUUACCAGCCGGCGACCGGCGCACGGGUGAGUAACACGUAUGCAACCUGCCUGCCACAGCCGGAUAAUCGGGAGAAAUUCCGUCUAAUACGGCAUAAUGCAUCGACGGGACAUCCUGUUGGUGCCAAAGGUUGAUUCCGGUGGCGGAUGGGCAUGCGUCGCAUUAGUUAGUUGGCGGUGUAACGGACCACCAAGACGACGAUGCGUAGGGGUUCUGAGAGGAAGGUCCCCCACACUGGUACUGAGACACGGACCAGACUCCUACGGGAGGCAGCAGUGAGGAAUAUUGGUCAAUGGCCGAGAGGCUGAACCAGCCAAGUCGCGUGAGGGAUGACGGCCCUACGGGUUGUAAACCUCUUUUGCCGGGGAGCAAAGAGCGGGACGCGUCCCGCCUCGAGAGUACCCGGAGAAUAAGCAUCGGCUAACUCCGUGCCAGCAGCCACGGUAAUACGGAGGAUGCGAGCGUUAUCCGGAUUUAUUGGGUUUAAAGGGUGCGUAGGCGGCCUGUUAAGUUAGUGGUUAAAUGUCGGGGCUAAACCCCGGAUUGCCAUUAAAACUGGCGGGCUCGAGUACAGACGAGGUAGGCGGAAUAAGUCAAGUAGCGGUGAAAUGCUUAGAUAUGACUUAGAACUCCGAUAGCGAAGGCAGCUUACCAGGCUGAGACUGACGCUGAAGCACGAGAGCGUGGGUAGCGAACAGGAUUAGAUACCCUGGUAGUCCACGCCGUAAACGAUGCUCACUGGUUCUUGGCGACAAACGGUCGGGGAUCAAGCGAAAGUAUUAAGUGAGCCACCUGGGGAGUACGUCGGCAACGAUGAAACUCAAAGGAAUUGACGGGGGCCCGCACAAGCGGAGGAACAUGUGGUUUAAUUCGAUGAUACGCGAGGAACCUUACCCGGGUUUAAAUGUUGAUGGACUUAAUUGGAAACAGUUAUUCUCUUCGGAGCCGUCAUCAAGGUGCUGCAUGGUUGUCGUCAGCUCGUGCCGUGAGGUGUCGGGUUAAGUCCCAUAACGAGCGCAACCCUUACCGUCAGUUGCCAUCAGGUAAAGCUGGGGACUCUGUCGGGACUGCCACCGUAAGGUGAGAGGAAGGCGGGGAUGACGUCAAAUCAGCACGGCCCUUACACCCGGGGCUACACACGUGUUACAAUGGCCGGUACAGAGGGCAGCUACCUGGAGACAGGAUGCGAAUCUCGAAAGCCGGUCGUAGUUCGGAUUGGAGUCUGUAACCCGACUCCAUGAAGUUGGAUUCGCUAGUAAUCGCGCAUCAGCCAUGGCGCGGUGAAUACGAACCCGGGCCUUGCACACACCGCCCGUCAAG
rnacentral:rRNA from 1 species